GGGGGCGACCUGGCUUCGACGCGGAUUACAAAACCCGAGGGGCAUGCCGAGGUGCAGUUCACCUCGUAAAUCAAACUGCAAAAAACAUAGUUGCCAACGACGACAACUACGCCUUAGCGGCUUAAUCCCCGCUAACCUCUGACUGGAGCCGUGCUUGUGCGUUCAGCGUCCGCAAGGGCAUUCAGGGGUCGACUCUCACAAGAUCGCGCUGCGGCUCGUCCAGGGUCAAUGCGCUAAAUCCUUACUGGACUCGCUUGCUGUGUUCCCUGCCUGUCGGGUAACAGCCGGCUAAACCCAAAGACCAGGCUACGCAUGUAGAACCAACGGUAGCGGAUUUGCGGACGCGGGUUCGAUUCCCGCCGCCUCCACCA
rnacentral:tmRNA from 1 species